UCGGAUCAAGUGGAUCCUUCCGGACCCGCUUUCCGCAUCCUUUUCGGAACGACGCCAGCAAACGGAGGCGGAAGAAGGCCUAAAAAUCCGAAGCGUUCUCCUGUUCCGGCAUCGGAGAGCUCUGCUCGAUUUCCGUCUUCAUCUCGAUCUCGCGAGAAUAAGGGAGCAGAGAUUAUAGAGUCAGUUCUAUAAGUUGGAAUCAUGCCUUCUCAAAA